rnacentral:rRNA from 1 species
GACGUAGGGCGCGAGCGUUGUCCGGAUUUAUUGGGCGUAAAGAGCUCGUAGGCGGCUUGUUGCGUCGACUGUGAAAACCCGCGGCUUAACUGCGGGCUUGCAGUUGAUACGGGCAGGCUAGAGUUCGGUAGGGGAGACUGGAAUUCCUGGUGUAGCAGUGAAAUGCGUAGAGAUGUGGAGGAACACCGAUGGCGAAGGCAACCCCCUGGGACGAUACUGACGCUGAGGCACGAAAGCGUGGGGAGCAAACAGG